rnacentral:siRNA from 1 species
GUACGGUGCUCAUCUUCGAC